rnacentral:lncRNA from 1 species
CAGGAGCGUCUGCCUGCUAGUAAGAAGGUAAGGAGACAAGUGGACCAGCGAGUGCUAGGGGACAGUCCUUCAUUAGAUGCAUUUAUGCCAAGCUCAGGGUGCUGUCUGCAUAGUAUGCCCUUAGUUGGCCAGCUGCAUGAUUGGCAGGCAGUCUGACAUGCAUUCAUGCCAGGCUGGCCUUCUAAUUCUUUGGGCAGACAUGUCCUCUUUUUGGGUAUGUUCACCCCUUUUGGCAGGUUACGUGAUUUGUGUCAGUGGCACACCCUUUUACCGUGCCCAUUGACUUCCUGCUUGACUGGACACUGCUGUUAGGGGUUAUGGAUUUACUUGAAAGAUGAAAGCAUAAAUUAGAGGGAGAUUUCUUGUAGCUGCUGUUUUCUUUCUCUCCAGCACCAUCUCCAUCAGAUACAUGACACUUGGGAGUGUUUUAGUGUUUUUGGUCGAUAUGAUUCUGUAAUUAGGCCAGUCAUAAUUGUCAGCACCAGGCCCACUGAGCUGUUAAUCUGGCCCUGCCAAAGGGUUCACAUACAUUUUCUUGCAACUGUAUGCAUAUGCUGUCCGCGUUUACCCUGUUUGUAGUGAAAUUUAGCCUUAUCUCUAAUACUGGACUUCCCUCUCUUGUUUAGCGUGAAGUAUGUUUUACAAUCAUAAAUGAAGAUUAAGAUAUACACACACAGAUUUUGCCUAUGCCCAUUAACUUCCCUGUAAAUUUUAAAGAGAAUAACAUUUUCUUCUGAUCUGGGAUUAAUUAAACGUAAUCUCAUGCUUAUUAUGUUCUGGCACUCUGAGGAUGUUGGAGAAUUUUUCCAUCAAUUUUCUCAAAAUGACGAGUGACUCUCUUAAUUUUUUGUCAGACUGAGCAAUAACUCCACUCCAUUGGAUUUAGUCCUUCUAAUCUACAGGUGUGAUUGGGUUUGUGUCUGUAAGAAUCCCUCCUUCCGUGUUGGCUCACUGUUCCACCUGUGUUUAAUAGUUUGCCUAAUUUUAUUUUAUAUCCUGUAACUGAACAUACCAUUUUAUAGUCCAGGUGGACUAUAUGAAUAUACAUUUCCUGGCUAAUCAUGGCAGCAUCACUUAUGGGUAGCUCCUCCCUUAGCAGUCACAGGACAGGAAUUAAUUAGAUUAAUUAAUCAGACUGAUAGGUAUAAGGAGUCCCUCCUCCCCCUACACCUCAGUCUUUUUUCCUGUCCUUAGCAAGUUCUACAGGACUUUUUUACAUUUUAUUUUAUGGCCACCUUCCUGCGUUUGUCGUGUGUUCGUUCCAAAUGAAGUUCAGCCUCUCUUCAUUUGAAGGGUCCAGUAAACAGCCUGCAUGAACAGGACUAACUGGAUCAGGUUCAGUGUAAGUACUGAACUGCAGCGUGGGAAGUAAGUGUUUGAGGGAAACACUGUUAUGUUUGUUUGUGGGGUUGGUUUAGCCUUAAAAAUUCCCCUGGUUUUAACCUGCCCCUACUAAUUGGGGCCAUUUAUCCCACCCCAUGCUUGGAUGGCAGCCUUUGAAUCCAUACUUAGGCUUGUGUGGUUUGGUACCUUUAACUGGCCGUCUGGGUGUUCCUGUCUAAAAGACUUCCUGCUCUCUGGGGCUCCUUGGGCGUCCGGCCGUUGGGAGCUGGAACGCAUUCUGCGUUCCAGCCCACUGUAUGACGCUCGCGGCCGGUUUCUGUGAAACCGGAAGUGAAUUGCACGCCGGCCGCGAGCGUUUGGAACGCAUGGAGUGCGUUCCAUCGCUCUGCGCAUGCGUGGACCGGGCAAUCAGCUGUUUCAGUGCCCGGUCCUAUUUAAAGCCUCAGAUACAGCUUUCUUGUGCUGUAUCUGCAGUCCUACAGUUGUGUUCCCCCAGGGAAUUGAUUUCUUACCACUGCUUCUCCUGUUACCUGGCUGCUUGGUGGAACUCUUCUUCUUUAAGGUAGGAUUUCUAUUUUUUACUGAUUAGAAGUUUGCUUUCAUCAGCUUGCCUCUUAUCCAUUUGUGAAAUUAGUAUGGAUUCUCCCUCUGCCUCUGCAAGAUCCCUCUCUAGAAAACAUAGGUGAGCCAUUUAUUAAAUUUAUGGGGGGUUGUUAAGAGUGCCAUACUAAGCCUGUAAUAUAUGUCAUAUAUGGCUUUAUUCCAGUCCCAGCAUUCAUUUGGAUUCUCCAGCAAGAAAAUCACGGGAAAAGUCAAAUAAAUGCAUUAAUUGUUCAUCGCCUGCUCCGAAUGGAAGGAACCUUUGCAGGGAUUGCUUGUUGGAAGUCGCAGACGCCCCCGGUAGGGGUUCUCCACAGGACAACCUUAAACUCUGGAUUUCCCAAGCUAUUGCUGAGGGCUUUAAGGUUACCACGGGAUCUAGUGGUCAGAGUAAGAGACGCAGAGCGGAACUUCAGUCUUCCAGCUCUGAUGAAGACCCUGAUGUGUGGGAGGUCUCGGAUGAAGGUGAGGAGGAAACUGAAUAUACCUCCAGGUCUCUUGACUCCAGGUCUGUUGAUAGACUUAUUACCCUUCUCAGAGACACUCUUAGUCUCAUUGAAGAAAGGUCUGAAUUAAAAGAGGCUGACAGGUUCUUUGAGGACCUAAAACCUAACAGACCGACUUUCCCGGUGCAUACAUCAAUCAGGGAUAUGAUCCUUCAGGAAUGGAAUAAGCCGGAAAAGAAGUCCACCUUAAAAAAAUAAGUUCACGAGGGUUUAUCCGUACUCUUCAGUGGACUGCUGCCUGUGGAACUCCUAAAAUUGACGCUGCAGUGAUCCAUAUGGCUAAGAAAACGACACUGCCUAUUGACUCCAUGGCAUAUCUAAGAGAGCCUAUGGAGAAGCGUAUGGAUGGAGACCUGAUUAAAACCUACUUGGCCCUAGGGUCCGCCCUUCAUCCGGCAGUGGCACUAAUUACUCUCUCCAGAGCCUUGAAAGUGUGGCUCGCUAAUCUGAGGGAGGACAUUGAUCAGGGUGUCCGCAGGGAACAUCUGUUGGAGAGCCUCAAGGACUUUAGUCUGGCCACGGAAUUCUGUUCAGAAGACUCCCUGGACAUCACUCGCAUGAUUGCCAAAAGCAUGGCCCUAUCUGUGGCUUCUAGAAGGGCUCUGUGGCUUAAUUCGUGGGGUGCUGAUUAUGCUUCUAAGGCUUCCCUGUGUGCACUUCCGUUCCAAGGGGAUCUCCUUUUUGUGAAUAUUCUGGAAGAUGCUAUUCAAAAAGCUGCUGAUGGGAAAAAGGCGUUUUUACCUCAAGCCGGCAGGAAGAGUUUUCCUCCCUCCUGGAAGACCAAGCGCUUCAAAGAUAGGUCCUUUUGGGACAGCAGGAGCUAUAAACCUGGAAGGGAAUUUUCUAGGAAUUCUUCAUGGAAGUCCUUCUCGCAUUCAUCUUCCAAUAAGCCUUCCAGAGGAAGGGGUGCUAGGAUCCCAGGGAAGAACUUCUGAAGGUCUACAGGCCCGUUCGGGGACGGUGGGAGGAAGACUGAAGUUCUUCUACCCUGUAUGGGCCAGCAAUAUUUCGGACCUAUGGGUCACUUCCAUCAUAAAGGAAGGUUACAAAAUAGAAUUGUCAUCUUACCCGAAAACUGCAUUCUUCCGAAAAUCAAAGGUGUCGGUAGGCAUCAAACGAAGGGCCAUGAGGUCCUGCAUUUCUGUACUCCUGGAACAAAAAGUGGUGGAAGAAGUUCCAAAACGGGAAAGGUUCCGGGGAAUUUACUCCACAGUGUUCUUGGCCCCAAAACCACAGGGAAAGUGGCGUCUCAUUUUGAAUUUAAAAGGCGUAAACUCCUUGCUCAACGUAAGGACGUUCAAAAUGGAAUGCUUGAGGACCAUCUUGAAGUGUGUCAAAAAGGGAGACUGGAUGACCUCAAUAGACUUAAGGGACGCUUACUAUCAUAUCCCGAUACAUCAAGAUCACAUACAGUUUCUCAGGUUUUGGGCGCUAGGAAGGCACUUCCAGUUCCAGGGACUACCGUUUGGCCUCAGCCUGGCUCCAAGAACGUUCUCAAAAGUUCUGGUCACCUUAAUAGCCUUUAUAAGGGAAAAGGGUAUCGAGAUCUUCCAUUAUUUGGACGACAUUCUUAUCUUGGGUCCAUCUCAAGGAAUUGUAGCUCAGCAUACGUCAGUGGCAAUGUCCAUUCUUCAAGACCAUGGAUGACUUCUGAACGUAGAAAAGAGCUCCCUCGUUCCUGCGCAAACCAUAAUUUUCCUGGGUGCAGCGGUGAAUACAGUGUCUGCACAUGUGUUCCUGUCUCCAGAAAGGGUCACGAAAAUCAGAGACAAAGUAAGGAAGCUGCAAGUUCUUGAAACUGCACCUGCAAGAGAAGUCAUGAGUCUCCUGGGUUCCUUGACAUCAACAAUAGGGUUGGUGAAGUGGGCCCAGUGGAAGUUCCGUCCGGUCCAGAACUGCUUCCUUCUCCAGUUCGACAGAGUGGAAGCGGAUUGGGAACAGAUGAUAUCUCUUCCCCUCCCUGUAAGGAAAGGCUUAAACUGGUGGAAGAGCGAGAGGAAUUUGACAACAGGCUUCCCGUUGGAAGAUCCCCCUUGGAAGGUUAUUACGACAGAUGCCAGUUCUUUUGGAUGGGGUGCCCACUUCAGUUCUAUAUGGACUCAAGGGAAGUGGUCCCGAGAAGAGAGUCGCCUACAGUCAAACUUAAGGGAACUGAGAGCGGUUUACAAGGCCAUUUUGAGAUUCCUGCCAAGAGUAAGGAAUUCUUGGGUUCAAAUCAAGACAGACAACAGAGCGGUGGCCUCAUAUGUGAACAACCAAGGUGGCACGAGGAGCAGGUUGCUCCUGGAAGAGCUGGCUCCCUUAAUGGCUAUAGCCAUGACCUAUCUUCAAGGCCUGAAGGCGAUUUAUCUCCCAGGUUCGGAGAACGUAACGGCAGACUUCCUCAGCAGAAAGGAAAUUCUUCCGGGAGAAUGGCAACUUCACCCGGCGAUCUUUGCAGAAAUUGCACAUCGGUGGGGCAUGCCCCAGAUCGACCUGAUGGCAUCAUCUCAGAAUCAUCAGGUGGAGAAUUACUUCUCUCUCCACCCGGACUGUCAGGCACUGGGCCAGGAUGCUCUCUCUCUGCCUUGGUCGUUCGAUCUGGGGUAUGCUUUCCCUCCCCUACCCAUGAUUCCCAGGUUCCUGCAGAAGGUUUGGUCGGAAGGCAAAAAAGUAAUUGCCAUAAUUCCGAUUUGGCCUCGGAGGCCGUCGUUUCCCCUAUUGGCCAGGAUGAGCCAGGAACAACCUUGGCCUCUUCCAGUGAUGGAGGAUCUGCUCAUGCAGGGCCCUGUUUUCCAUCCUCAUCCUGGGGGUAUGGGUCUUGAGAAAGAAAGACUCCAAUUACUAGGUCUCUCAGAGGCAGUGAUCAAUACCCUUCUGCUCUCCAGGAAGGCUUCCACUUCCUCAUGCUACCAUAGGAUCUGGGAUGUGUUCCAAGCAUGGGCUUCGUCUAAUAAUGUGGACUUUCAGCAUCCUAGCAAUACUGAAGUUUUGGAGUUUCUGCAAGAGGGCCUGGACAAGGGCCUUAGCCUCAGCACCCUGAAGGUUCAGUCUUCUGCACUUUCAGCUUUGUGCAACAUCUCAUGGGCUUUGGAUCCUUUGAUUUCCAGGUUCUUCAAAGCGGCCUUCAGGUUGAGGCCUCCUUCCAGAUCUACUACCCCUCCUUGGGACCUUCCUCUGGUGCUCAAUUAUCUCACUGAGGAUCUGUUUGUUCCUCUUGAAAGUUUGGAUGCUACUCUCCUGACGUAUAAAACUUUGUUUUUGGUGGCAAUUACUUCCGCAAGACGGAUUUCAGAGAUUAAGGCAUUUUCUACAUCAUCUUCUUGUUUACGAUUCUACCAAGAUAGGGUGUGUCUGAAACCAAAACCAGAGUUUCUUCCUAAGGUGGUUUCUCAGUUUCACCUCUCUCAAGAAGUGGUUCUUCCAUCAUUUUACCCCAACCCCUCUUCUCAGGAGGAGGUUAGAUGGCAACGUUUGGAUGUCGUGAACUGCUUGUCUGCAUAUCUUAAACGUUCUGAGUCUUUCCGUAAAACGGACCAACUCUUCGUUUUGCCGUUGGGAGCAAGGAGAGGUGAGGCGGCUUCUUUAUCUACGUUGGAUUUCUCUGAUAAUUAAGAAGGUGUAUAUCUCUAACGGUAUAUCACCCCCACGGGAGAUAAGAACUCAUUCUACUAGAGCAUUAUCAACUUCAUGGGCUAGCUGGGCAGAGGUUCCAUACGAUGAUAUUUGCAGAGCAGCCACCUGGUCUUCUCCGAUGACAUUCAUGAAGCACUACAAACUAGAUGUGGAUUCUCCUUUCACCUCCAUUGGGAAGAGUGUCCUGUCUAUGGUUUCUUUAUCCCGUUGAUAUUAAACUUUUCUUUGCUGCAUGUGAUUCAGUUUGGUGUAAUUUCUUGGAUUAUUAUUCCCACCCUAUAUUUCUGUGAAGCGUGGAUAUUACCCAUAAGUGAUGCUGCCAUGAUUAGCCAGGAAUAGAGAAAAUUUAUGACAAACUUACCGUAAUUUUCUUUUCCUGGCUAUUUCUCAUGGCAUCAUCAGGGUUCCCGCCCGUUCUUUUAUUUCAGCUUUAUAAUUGGACUAAGGUGUAGGGGGAGGAGGGACUCCUUAUACCUAUGAGUCAGAUUAAUUAAUCUAAUUAAUUCCUGUCCUGUGACUGCUAAGGGAGGAGCUACCCAUAAGUGAUGCUGCCAUGAGAAAUAGCCAGGAAAAGAAAAUUACGGUAAGUUUGUCAUAAAUUUUCUCUAUUAUACUGUAUAUUUUCUUUCUGUUUCUUUUUUUUAUACUUCGUGUUUUUGUUUUGUUUGUUUUGCCUUCUUUUUCCCUGAGUAUUCUCCACAAAUAUCCUUUUCAUCUGCAAGAUAAUGGCUGAAAGGUAUGAUAACAUUCAGGAAACUAUGCUUAAUGCUAAGGUAUAAACACCAUAGACAAUGUCCACCUUAAAAAACAGAUAUUUUACACACAGCUAUUCUCAUCCACCUUCAAAACAAAAGGAGUGUCCAUUCUGUUCACUGGCUCUGUGCACCUUUGUCAGACACUGAAGGCCAUAAUGUUUUUGUUAAAGGUAAAAUAUGUAGUUUCCUUUUUAUGAAUGCUAAUGUUUAUGCUCAUACUAUAAACCAGAUUUCUUUUCUGUUACUGUGUGCUUUGUAGUUUAUGCAGUUUUAUGGAAAAAUCUUAAUUUUUGAAGGUGACCUGAAUGUUUCUCUAAUUCCCAUAGUAGACACCUCCAAUGGUAAGGUUUAGCAUACUUCUUAUGCUAGUAGACAAUGGUCCAGGCACUUAAGUUGUAACCAACAAUGCAGGUUUAUUGCGAGCGUUUACAGUCGUUUUAACCCCAAAAGGUCUUUUUCAAGCUUAAAAAUGUUGCCUGUACACUUUCAGAAUAAACCUGUGUUUUUGGCAACACCUUAAGUGCCUGGACCAUUGUCUACUGUCUAAACUACAGAGUGGGGUUUGGCCUACCUCCUGCCUAUACUCUUUAUGGACCAUACAUUUUUGAAUUGAGAUUUUGGACCUUCUGAACUGGAAACAGCUCACAAGGCUGAUGUGUCUGAUACUACUCUCUAAUAAGUCAUAUUUCUUACAACUAAGAUUGCUCCUUUACUAAAUCUGAAAGUACAAGGCAUAAUGUUCAAAGUAAACCAACAUACCAUCAUGAUUAUUCACUAAAGUGAGAAUUCAACGUAACUUUUACAUUUAAGUUAAAACAGUUGAAAUGGAAAAAUUAUCUUGGUCUUAAAUUUGAAAUUCACUUUGAAUUCUCACUUUAGUGAAUAAUCCUGUAUUUCUUUGGCAAUAUAAGCAGCCGUCUCCUGGCUCAUAUAUUGAAAGAUAUUAAAUUGAGAUCUUACAUGGGGAAAAAUGUGGUCACCUUGGCCAAAUAGAUAUUUAACUGAUGAAAUUGCAUAUUAUGUCUCAGAGCACCUGUGCUCCAUCCCACCUGAAGGUUCCAUUAACCAUAAAGACAAGCCCCUCAUGUUGGAAGAACUGAAGCAGCCUUGAAAGUGUCCAAAGAGUCCUGGACCUGGCGGGUUUACAUUAAAAUGCUAUAAACCUUUCUUUGAUAUAUUCGUCCCCCACUUCUCAAAAGCCUUCAGUGCUAUUCCUGGGAUAGCCAACAAUCCUCCCCAGACUUCAACUGCUACAAUUACAUUAAUACAAAAAGCAGAAAUUAUCCAACUAACUGUGGGAACUAUUUGCCUAGUUCCUUCUAGAAUAUGGACAUAAAAUGUUUCUCAAAAAUUCUGAUGACAAACUGAAGCAUUAUAUUCCUAGUAUGGUGCAUUCAGACCAGGUUGACUUUGUGACUGGCCAGGGGGCACAUUCUAACACUAUGAGGACUGUUGAUUGGAAUGUGUGUCUGGGAUACUCAAUCGCUCCUUCCCCUCUGUGCCACCCAUCACUUCCCAUCAUUCUGCCCUCCAUUACUUUCAUAGACUGUCCUAUACGUAAUAAAAUAAAUGCAAAUAUAAAUAUUUUGCAGAUAAAUCAAUGCUGUAUUUGAAUGUAGAUCACUGGAAUUUAACACCAAUAUAAAUCUGAUUUAAUGUUAUUAGAAUGUAUUAUCGUCCGUGCUGGAGCUGCGGAGGUCCUCCAUGGGAAUUGCCUUAUUAGAAUCUCUUUUUAAUUUCUGGGUCUGCUCCAGGCUUGGAGGUUGCAGAAUGUUUGGAGGAUGAAGGAUUCAGUUUAGACAGGUAUUUCUUUUCUGCAACACACAUAGGGCUUUUCACGUCCUCAUCAGGAUGUUCUGGUAUAGAUUCAAAUCUGGGACUCUGAAAAAGAUAACUUAUUGCUUAUAUUCACAAUAGUUUUUUUUUUUUAUCAUAACAUCACCAUGUCAUCCUUAUAAUAUCAAAGAUGUUCUACAUAUAAAAUCGAUCAGGUGGCCACGUCAAUACAACAGAGUAGUGAGGAAGUUUUUAAAUCAUUCAAUUAAGAUCCAAUAUAUAAUCCAGAAUUUUGGCCAAUAUGCUACGUUGGUAAUACAUAUUUUGCUAGCAGCUAAAGUACUAAUUGCCAGAAACUGGAAAUCUUUUUAAAGUUCCAGUCUGGGAGGAAGUUAAAGUACACGUGAUUUAUCAGAUAAAAAUGGAGAUAGGUAUUGUUAAAGAAUCAAAUAAGAUGAAAGAAUGGCUCGGUAUGAUACAGCAACUUUAAAGCUUAUAUCAAAUAUAUUCUAUAAGAUAGGAAUGAAGCAACCCUGCUUACAUUAAUGUAAAGGUAUUUUAUUGUCUAAAAGAAUUUAAAAGGAUAUUAGAAAUGUAUCCUGGUUCCCCUAUCCUCUUCGCUGGAAAUAUUGUUAGGUGUCUUUUCGUGUGUUAUAUUAUGAAUAGAAAAAUAAACAGUUUUCUCCCUAUAUGAAUCAGACCUAGACACUGUACUAAUAUAUACAACUAGAGAUCCCUGUUAGGGAUGUUAAUAAAAUCUGAAUAAUGUAAUAUUUAAUGUGUUUAUGUCUAAUGUAUUGUAUCAUGUUUUUUUUUUUUUUUUAUAACAAUAAAAGUAAAAUAUUAAACAUGAAAAAAAAAAAAAAAAUUAAGAUCAUCACACAACUAGAUUAGAGUUCGUCUUUAGAGUCUAAAAACUAGGUGAUCCCCAUAGGGGAACAGGUGGCUUUUUUUUAUUAGUGUUAGUGAUCUAUCUAAAGCCAGAACAUUAUUAUUUAUGUCCCUAUUAAGGCCUUGAUUAAAUGUGUUUGAAUCAGAAAUUAUUACUAUAUGUUACAAAAUAAAUGUUUUCAAACAAUUUAUCUACAGAAUUCAUCAAGAAAGAAACAACAAACGCCCUUACUCCUUUGUCACAUGGAGCUUCUGUUUACUUACCAUGGAGAACUUCCUCCUGAGACGAAAUGGGUUGUCUCUGAUCCUACGCAGCUCAUCAACUCGAGAGUGUGACUGAGUUGUUGCUUCAUAAAUUUGAGUUGAAUUUAUGUAACACCCAGGGACCAUUAACCGAGGAUAUACAACGCGCGCCAUGAUAGCUUUUACCAACAAGCAGGAGCACUACAAGAUUUAGUUUGCUAGAGAAUGGACUAAUGUUUGCAAAUGUAAUAAUACUGAACAGUGAUCACCACACCAUGGGGUUCUAGAACCUCCAGAUACCUCUAUGGUGUGUGAUGUCAUAGUACGUUGAGAGGUUCUAAAUCUACAAAUGUAUAACCAACCAUGAAAUAUUUCAUUGCAUGCUAG